rnacentral:rRNA from 1 species
GGAGGAAAGCAGGGGAUCGAAAGACCUUGUGCUUUUAGAGCGGCCGAUGCCUGAUUAGCUAGUUGGUAAGGUAAAGGCUUACCAAGGCAACGAUCAGUAGCUGGUCUGAGAGGACGACCAGCCACACUGGGACUGAGACACGGCCCAGACUCCUACGGGAGGCAGCAGUGGGGAAUUUUGGACAAUGGGCGCAAGCCUGAUCCAGCCAUGCCGCGUGAGUGAAGAAGGGCUUCGGGUUGUAAAGCUCUUUCGGUCGGGAAGAAAUAGUUGUGGCUAAUAUCCAUAACGAAUGACGGUACCGACAUAAGAAGCACCGGCUAACUACGUGCCAGCAGCCGCGGUAAGACGUAGGGCGCAAGCGUUAGUCGGAAUUAUUGGGCGUAAAGGGUGCGCAGGCGGAUGUAUAAGUCAGAUGAGGGAUCCCCGGGCUUAACCUGGGAAUUGCGUUGCUUUCAUCGGGGCUAGAAGGGC